rnacentral:rRNA from 1 species
GACCUCCAAUCAGAUAAGACUACCCGC